UAAAGGAAGGGAAGGGAAGGAAAUGAAGGGAAGGUAAAAGAAAGGAAGGGAAGGGAAGGGAAAGGAAGGGAAGGGAAGGGAAGGGACAGGAAGGGAAGGUAAGGGAGAGGAAGGAAGGGUUCGGGAAGGUAAGGAAAGGUAAGAAUAUGGAAGAAAAGGUAAGGGAAAGAAAUGGAAGGUAAGGGAAGGGAAUGGAAGGAAAGGUAAGGGAAAGGAAGGAAAGGGAAUGGGAAGGAUGGGAAGGUUAGGGAAGGGUAAGGAAAGGUAAGAAUAGGGGAGAAAGGGUACAAAAGAUUGAGAACUGGCUUGAGUAGACUCCGUAUGUUUUGCUAACCAUCUUUAUGUAUGUAUGAUUGUAUAUAAGUAUGUAUGUAUGUAUGUAUGUAUGUUUUUUUUACAGCAAAGGAAGCAGCUCAAGGGGGAAAAAAAUAACCCCGCUAAUCACUGCCUCUAACCAUGUAUGUAUGAGUGAGUAUGUGCGUGUCUGGCAUUCAAGUCCUCGGUACAAAUUUUCCUGAAUAGAGUAUGAUUUUUACGAUGACUAGUAGUGGCUGUUGACGCCGUGACUGUCCCUAAGGGUGCAGCUGGGGGCUUGUUUCAUCCUCGCUGCAUAGUCAGAAAAAAACACACCUUGUACAGCUCACAUGUUUAUGGCGACACCCGAGCUGCUAGAGAGAAAUUUAGUAGCACGGUAUCUCCGGCGAGGUGGGAAACUACGAUGUACGGUAAUGCCUUGGACUAAAUGUGGACUGCCGGGUUGGUUUUAUUCUGGAAAGAUCUUACUCGUUCUGAUUUUAGGCUGCGAGAAAUGUGAUCAACGAAACCCGGAAUUUUGUUGACUUUCCUCGUUAGUUUUGUUAGUUCGUGACGUCCCGAGACCGACUGACUGUUGUUUAGGAGGGCGCCCAGACGCUUGGCCCGCGCUUGAGUCUACCUUGCACAGACCAUGUUCUUUAUUUUAAUUUCACUGAUACUUAUUUUACUAGUCUUGUUUUAUUCAUUUAUUUUACUGUUUAUUUAUUUUAACCUCUUUUAUAUUCCAUUUUCAUUCACUUUUUUAUUAUCUUCUAAUUUUAUUCAUUUAUUUAUCUAUUUAUUUACUAAUUUAUUUUUACUAUUUUUUAUUUGUCUAUUUAUCUACUUAUUUAUUUACCUAUUUAAGCUUCUUUUGUAUUCUAGUUCCAUUACUUUUCUUUUAUUGUCUUUCUUUCUUUGUCUAUUUAUUUAUCUGUCUAUCUGUUGACUUAUUUUGAUUAUUCUGUGUUUUGCUUUGAAUCGCGUUGUGCCACGUUGUUUAUUGUACAGUGAGAGAAAACACAGCAUAUACUCCAUUAAAAAAAAAUGUCCCCCGCACAAUCCUGCACUAACAGAGAAAGCAUGCCAAACGGGAGCAUUAUCAUAUUUAGAUUUCAAGCCGCCAUCAAGUGCUGCGUUGCAAUAUACGGUGCUACGCCAUAGUGACUUUCCCCGGCGAGGUGUACGUAUAUUCAUAUUAUUAAACCCUCAUUCCCCUCUUUUCCCGGCACAGUCCCUCGGAGGUCCCGCGCGGCGCUGCACCUCUCACGCACACACCUCGCCUCGACCUCCAGCCUCAGCGUCGCCAGCGAUAAACUUGAAGACACAACAACGACGCUACAGAGAGUCUGAGACGGACCGAUGGCUUUACGUAACACCGAAGAGAGAGAGAGAGAGAGAGAGAGAGAGAGAGAGAGAGAGAGAGAGAGAGAGAGAGAGAGAGAGAGAGAGAGAGAGAGAGAGAGAGAGAGAGAGAGAGAGAGAGAGAGAGAAAGAGAGAGAGCAGAUUUUUUCAACGUGGUAUAACUUAGUAAUCAUUAACGGCUAUAUAUGUAGGUAGUCUGGCAUUUUUUAUUCUUUUUAGGGACGGGAGUUCGAUAUAAGUGAUGAAUUUUCAGAGUCAAGACGACGUAUAAAAAACUCAUUCGUAAAAAGCGAUAUAAAUAAAUAAAAAAAAUCAACAAAACCAAGUAACUACGCCUUGAAAAAUGGGUCAAAAUGGAUAAAUCAGCCACAGUAUUUUUUAUAAAGACUGUUACCACGUUCAAAAAAUCAAGUGAGUGUGUGUGUGUGUGCGUGAGUGAAAGGACAGAAAGGGACAGAAGCAGCCAGCGGGUGAGCGGGUCCCCUGACGGGCGGGAUGGUUGGCUGCUGGCUCGCCGGGCACAAACGUGUUGGCGGUGCCGGUGCCUUAAAAGAAUAAAUAACCGGCAGACUAAGGGAAAGAGGCGUGCCAGGGGUUGUUACUGUCCUCUAGCCUCCGACCCAGAGAGAGAGAGAGAGAGAGAGAGAGAGAGAGAGAGAGAAAGCAAGCACGUCCCUCUUAUCUUACUCUAGAGCUCCCAAGUUAGUUACAGAGCAAGUUUAAAGGUUAGCGCCGUGCACGUGUUUAGGCUUUUGCGCGCCACAACGAGCCAAGAUUGCCGUGCAGGUCAUCGCUCGCCCGCAUCACGCCGCCCCUGAGUCACGGUUUGAGAUUUACUGCCAUAUAAAACAGAGAUAAAAUAAACUAUAAUGUGUCUCUUCCCCUGAGCCACUUGUUUGAGAUUUACUAAUAUAUAUUAACAAGAAAAAAGAAGCUAUGAUGUGCCACCCCUUCCCUUGUGCCACUUGUUCGAGCUUCACUGAUAUAUAAAACACAGAAAAAAGUAUAUAUUAAACUAUGAUGUGUCCCUUUCCUUGAGCUACUUGUACGAGCUUCACUGAUAUAUAAAACACAGAAAAAAGUAUAUAAAUUAUGAUGUGUCCCUUCCUUGAGCCACUUGUUCGAGAUUUACUAACAUAUAAAAAACGAAAAAUAAAUAUAUCCAUGAGGAGUCGCCCCGUCCUUUGAGCCAUUCACUGAGAUUUACGAGUAUAAAAAGCGAAGGAGAAAUAGAAACUUUGCUGGGUCACCCCUUCUCCUAACCCACGACUCAACACUUAUUGGCAUACAAAGCAAAACAAAAUUAAGCCUAUAAUUAGUGUGGUAUUGUCUGAGUAUAGUGUUUUCAAUUUUAGCUUAGUUUAGUUUUUACCCUUGAGUUCAACGUUACCAGAUCAUCGUACUCAGCCUCGUAUAUUUACCAACCUCCGACCCAGAAACUGUCUCCUGGGCCCCAAUAACGAGAGUCCUUUAUGUUUAUCGUUAAAAAUAGUUAAUUCCUGAUGUUUCUUGGCAAUAGUUAGGCGUCAAAAUCCGGUCAAUACUAUGCCGUGAGUACGAUAAUCUGGCAACGGUGCUUGAGCUGUCGCCUUGACUGUACAAAAUAGGUACGCGAGUCACAAGUCUGAAUUCUGAACAAAACGAAAAAUCAAAAGAUGGAGUAUUGCAACUGAAUAUUGACUGAGGCGAUUCGAAGAAGGGACUCAUUAAAAGGUGUGUUGACAAAAUAAAAUAAAAACAAACCUCUCAUUAGUGUGGCAUUGGCGAGAACGACUGAGGAGACGUAAAAGCCGCAUUAUCAAAGAUGUUGGUGAAUAAAAAUUAAAUAAAUAAACCGAUAAGAGGCGUGGCAUUGGCAAGAAGUAGUAUUGAAAACAGACGUAAAGGUUUGCGGAUAAAAUGAAAUAAAAAUAAACCGCUAAUGGGUGUGGGUGGCAUUGGCAGGAAAUAUAUUGAAGCGAGACGUGAAGGCCGCCUCGUGAAAAGGUGUGUUAGUGUAUAUUUGGGGAUCGCAGGGACUACUUAUGUAACUUAUCUCGAUGGGCGCCUUUAAACACACAUGUACACAGGGCCGUAAUUUCUGGGGGGUUAGGGGGGAUAUAGCUUCCCAAUGUUUUCUAUAUCGGUCUCAAAAUCCCUCUAAAAGUGCUUAUUAUUCAAAACGAUUUCACCCCCCUUGCGCAUGCUCGCUUUGCCCCCCUCCCCUCCCCUCCUCCCCUCAUGAACCUAUGUUACUCUCUAGCCCUACAAAAAAUCGUCCAAAAUUACGGGUCUGAAUUACAAGCCAGAAAUUCCUACGAGAGGAGUUCUAACAACCUUUGCUGAAGCGGUUUCAUAAGGGUCACGUUGGUCGUUCUAAGCUAUCUUAAAAGGAGGAAAACACUACUUCUAACGGGAAAUGUAUAUACGAAGAAAAGGGGAAAAAUCAACUUACACGACUGAUUGUGAGAUAAAAGAAAAUAAUGUCGUGAUUUAAUUAUGUGUUGGCUUAUAUUUUUUUACUGGCUACUGAAUUCUGUGGACCAUAUAGGGAUCAUGCUUUUAUGUGGGAGUAAGCAAUGUCGCAGUCCCAAAUAUUCUCGAUCCUACGAAGAUUAGUGGCCAUGAGAUGCGCGUCCAUUCGUAAAGUGACUCAAUAACCCGUUUUUUUGUUUUUUUUUCAGGAGACAGCACAAGGCCACAAAGUAAAGGAAACAACAAUUAAAAAAAUAAGCCCGCUACUCGCUGCUCCUGUAAAGAACCCGAAGAGGUGGCCGAAAGAGCAGUCAGUUACGCGAUUCCCAUGUUCCCCUGUUUGAAAAGCCUCUCGUGGAAACUGCUGGAAUUUUCAUGGACUAUUUUGUGACGCCAGUGAUAGUCUUACACGGCUUCUGCAUCUUGAAUGGAAACAAAACACCCAUGAAAACCCGGUUAAUCUUCUCUGUGGCCUUGGAUAAUAGUCGUAGUGGUAGACCGAUACGUUUGAGAAUACGGACCAAUGACCUGACAGAGCAUUUGACUCCACUGAACCGCGUGUACAAACAAAACAGUCUGAGGGGAAGCCUUAUCAGAGGACACAAUGCAAGCCAAGUGAGGACGAUUCGGAGAGGAAGGGCGAAAAGAGUGCGUGUGUGGGGAGGGAGGGGUAAAGAGGCAGGCAGGCAGGAAGGAAGGACGAAGGCGGAGGAGGAAGAAGGAAGAGCGCGCAGGAGGCCAACAAUACCCAAGGUUGGUUAGUCAGCCCACGAAAGAAAACGAGCCGCGGCACAACAACGCCACUCGAGAGAAAACUUCAGACGCGAGAGAUGCCAGGGCCGACUCUUCUAUUCUAGGAAGCCUCACGUUGUUGCCUAAUUCUCUUUCUCUUCUCUUUGUAUUCGUUCAUCAUUGUAAAUACGAACAACAGCAGCACAAAAGGGAUAAGGUCAGUGCCUGCCGUUCGCCCCACGGACAGUGAAAACAGAUAUACGGAUACAUAGAAAAAUAAACAUUACUUAAUUCUCUGGUUUUAUUUCAUCCGGAUGUAUUGCUUUCUUUAUUUUUUUAGAGGCUAGGAGGCAGCUCAAGGGCAAAUAAUAAAAAAAAAGAGGAAACGAAAAAAAAAAAAAAUGUCUCUAACAUACACAUUGCAGAAUCUUCUUUACAACGCUCACAAUAGACAACUUACUAAAUCAGACGUCCCUUUACUAUUUUUCAAGAUCAUGACAGUUAAUAACCAAGAUUGCGAAGAGGAAACUACUGUCUUUCGUCUUGCUACUGACAGGCUGACAGGGAAAGGAAAAAGAGCAUUGGAAGUGGUGGUGGUGGUGGUGGUGGUGGAAGUACCCGUUUUUAACAGACAAGAUCUCGUAAGUGUGUGUUCCGUGACCUUUCUGAGAGCAUGACUGGCUCCCUCUUCCUCAACUCCCUCCCCCUUCUCCCCCCCCCCCUCCCCCAAGCGAGCUGCGUUACUUCCUGUGUCGUAAAUAUACCUUCUGCUCUGUUUCACUUUUACUUUUCUUUUUGUUUUUAAAUACGUAUGUGUAAGGAUACCGACAGUCUGCCUGAUUGACGUGUAUACAUGUAGUGGGGAGAGUAAAAUGCAUAGUAGUAGUAGUAGUAGUAGUAGUCGCAACAUUGGGCGGUGAAAAAAAAGACCGAGAAAAAAAUACUAAUGAUAAAAUUAAUGAAAAAUAACUAAAUAAAGAAGAAAAAGAAGAAGAAGAAGGCACCCAGUAAUCACCCACAUAAAAAUCAGAUAAAAAAUAAUAUAUGAAAAUCGUAAUUACUUCCUACUUUGAAUAGAAAAAAAAAACAUUCACACAAACACACACCCUCUCUAACAACUCACCCCCAAGACCGAACAAACAACUAAGCAAGCAAAACAACAACAAACACAACACAACACAACCACGCACCUGCCACACAACACACACAACACACACCAACACACGUGAACCAGCACUAAAGAAACACCAGGUAAGAGGAACGAAACACGGCUCAUUAGGCAAAGGUAACUCGACAGACCACAAAGCGCUCCCGUCCAGGUGUGUGAGUGUAAGCCAAUCAGUACUCACGGGACUCAACAGGUGAAGGCCGUGAGUCAGGUGAUGUUGCGUGACCCACUUUUAUGAGUAGUGCGGAGGUGAAGGUGAGCGGGUCAGGGUGGGGUGCUUGGGAGGGUGGAGGAAGGGAGAGGAGGAGGAAGGGAUGUGGGAGGUGGUAGGUAGGGAGGAGUAAAGAGGAAGGAGAGAAGUAAAGCGAGGUGAGGAAGAGACAGAGAGACAAAAAGACAGAAAGACAGAGACAGGAGAGAUAAGACAUUGACGAGGGAGAUAAUUAUAAGGUAAGGAAGUGAGGAAGGAGUGUGUCACGGAAGAUAAUGACGAGGAAAGAAAGGACACAGGAAAAAGAGGAAACAGUGUAAGAGAAAAUGAGGGUUUGGUUGGGUACGACAGCUCAUUAAGUUAAAAAGGCAGAAAGAGAAAACAAAAGUGAAAAGGAGGAAGGUGAGGAAGACGCGGAAGGAAUGUUGUCUGCCACGAGAAAGAAAAUGAGGAGGAAGUGAACAAAAGGGAAAAAAAUGAUGAGUUGAAGGUUUGAGUAAAAACGUGUCAUUAAAAGAGAGAAAAAGAGGAAAACAACAUAAUCAUCACGCAAGAAAGAGGAAGUUUAAGCUGAAGAAAAAAAAGAGUGACACUGAACAAUUAAUGAAUGCAAAAAUAGACAUGGAGCAGAAAAGAAAAAAAAGUUAAAUGGAACGUAAAAGAAAAUCAUGAAUACUUUACGAACAGUUUCCAGCACCGAAUUUAUAAACUAUACGAACAUUUACUUUAUAUUUACUUAACAUUUACAUUAUUUUACUUAACAAGCAUUUACUUUACAUUUACUUUACUUUAUAAAUAUUUACUUUAUUUUCCCAUCUACUUUACAUUACUAUACAACAUUUGCUUUACAUUUACUUUACUUUACAUUUAGAAACAUUUAUUUUACUUUUACCUUACUUUACAUACAUUUACUUUACUUUUCAGACAUUUUCCAGCACCGAGUCCACUUUUAAAUCCACUCCAUAAAGAUCAACACAAAAGGAUUCCGAAUCUCCUGAAGCCGGUUUGAGUUCGCUGCUGUGGAUUCCUCGCCUCUGUGUUUCUUUAGCUUCGUGUAAGUCUUCCGCUCUAAGGCCUCGACGUUCUCUCUCUCUCUCUCUCUCUCUCUCUCUCUCUCUCUCUCUCUCUCUCUCUCUCUCUCUCUCUCUCUCUGACCUUGCCCAUUCAAUAGUAGGCAUAGCGAAGGUUUUGAAACGGCUGGUAACAAAGGGACACACACACACACACACACACACACACACACACACACACACACACACACACACACACACACACAGAGACCCACACACACACACACACACACACACGCUGCCCUUUUCUUCCUCUCCUCUCUCUUCCCUUUCCCUUCCCCCUUUUUUUCUCUUCCAUUUCUUCUUUAGCCCCCUUUUUCCUCCCCCUCCCUUUCCUUACCUUCCUUCCCUCUCUUCCCUUUCCUCCCUUCCUCUUUCUUUUCUCUUCCCUUCCCUUCUUUCCCUUACCUAACACUCCCUCUCUCUUUCUCUCUCUUCCCAUUCCCUCUCCUUCCCUUCCCUACCUCCCUCUAUCUCUCCUCUCCUUUCCUACCUCCCACUUAUCUACCCUACCUCCUUCCUUCUCUCCUCACCUUCCCUCCCUUACCUUUCCUCCCCUUCUUCCCUUCUCCGUUGCACUCGUAAGCGUUCCCUACUUGCGGUGUAACUUACCCUCCCGAGUAGAGAUUUUUAUUUUGUUUGUUUGUUUGUGGGGAAUGAAUGGACGCGACUUGAGUUCUUUAAGAUGUAGAGAUGAGGGUAGUCUGUCUGUCUGUCUGUCUGUCUGUCUGCCUGUCUUUCUAUCCAUCUAUCUCCUUUCUUUUGUUAGUUAUAAUCAUUUAUAUUCUAUUAGUGUUAAAGAUAUAUGAAAGUGAGCAGAAUCAAGGUAAAAUUACAGACUAGUUAAAAGAUGUAGAGUUGAGGGUAGUCUGUCUCUCUGUCUGCCUGUCUCUCUGUCUUUCUAUCCAUCUAUCUCCUUUCUUUUGUUAGUUAUCAUCAUAUAUAUUCCAUUACCGUGUUAAAGACAUAAAAGUGAGCAGAAUCAAGGUAAAAUUAUAGACUAGUUAAACCGGCGAAUAGAUAAACAGACAGAGAUAGAUUGACAGGAAGCUAACUAAUAGAUAAAUCCAGGUAAAAAUAAAAAGACAGCUACAUAGAUAUAGAGAUGAAUAUAUAAAAUGAUUGACCAAUAAAUAGAUAUAAUAUGUGAGAUAGAUAGAAAAAUAUUGAUAGAUUGAUGAAUAGAUAGAAACAUAGAUAUAGAUAGGAAUAGAGACGAACAUUUUUUAAGACUGAUUGAAGAUGAAAUACAAGAAAUGGAUAAAUAACAAAUAACUGACCACAUGAACACACACAAAAAAAGUAAACAAAACAACAAAAUAAAUAAAUAAAUACAAAAAUAAGUUAGAAAAUAAAACCGCCUUUGUCUUCCUUUCCCCCCCUCGCAGUGUACGUUAUCCGUUUACCUGAGUGAGUCUGUCUGUCUGCCUACCUGGGCGCACCUGUGUAUUCAUGUGUCUGUCUUCGUGUUUGCUCACCUGUCUGUUUGUGUUGUUCAAUUGUUCACCUGCUGUUCCGUUAUUCUGCUCUUAAUCUAUCUAUCUAUCUAUCUAUCUAUCUGUCUAUCUAUCUAUCUAUCUGUCUAUAUAUCUUUUUAUUUGUGUAUUUACUUGAGGGGUCGUGUCUCUCUCUCUCUCUCUCUCUCUCUCUCUCUCUCUCUCUCUCUCUCUCUCUCUCUCUCUCUCUCUCUCUCUCUCUCACACACACACACACACACACACACACACAA